GACGAACCGUGCAAACGUUAUUCGGAAUCACUGGGCUUAAAGGGCGCGUAGGCGGGUCAGAUAGUCUGCGGUGAAAUCCUCCAGCUUAACUGGAGAACUGCCGUGGAUACUGCUGACCUCGAGGAGGGUAGGGGCAUCUGGAACAGCCGGUGGAGCGGUGAAAUGCGUUGAUAUCGGCUGGAACUCCGGUGGCGAAGGCGAGAUGCUGGACCCUUUCUGACGCUAAGGCGCGAAAGCCAGGGGAGCGAACGGG
rnacentral:rRNA from 1 species